UCCGGUUUGUCACCGGCAGUCCCAUUAGAGUGCUCAACUGAAUGUAGCAACUAAGGACAGGGGUUGCGCUCGUUGCGCCACUUAAGGCAACACCUCACGGCACGAGCUGGCGACAGCCAUGCACCACCUGUGCAGGCUCCGAAGAGCACCCGCUUUCACGGGUUUCACCCUGCAUGUCAAGCCCAGGUAAGGUUCUUCGCGUUGCAUCGAAUUAAGCCGCAUGCUCCGCCGCUUGUGCGGGCCCCCGUCAAUUCCUUUGAGUUUUAGCCUUGCGGCCGUACUCCCCAGGCGGGGUGCUUAAUGCGUUAGCUGCGGCACGGAAGGAGUCGACACCUCCCACACCUAGCACCCAUCGCUUACGGCGUGGACUAC
rnacentral:misc_RNA from 1 species